rnacentral:lncRNA from 1 species
AAAUAUGAAAAAUCUCUCAAAUAUGCCAAAAAACGUCACUUUUCAGAUUGUUUUUGUCAAAAAUGAAAGUGGCCGCAUCCGUGUUCAUCCACAACCUUUAUAUAUGUUAUGUAUUAUCAUAAAAUACAACUUACAUUGCAAUAUUAAGGAUGAACACGAAUGCGGCCACUUUCGUUUUACACGGAAACCGUCUAAAAUUUAACUAAAAUGAUAGAAUUUUGAAGAUUUCAGUAAUUUAGCAUGACUUAAUGGUGCUAUAACCCGAUAUAAGUGCAUUGUAUUGUCAAAAACAGCCCAUAUUUAUGUAGCAGAAGCAUUCAUCUGUCCAAUAAAUAACUAAAAGUUUACAUUUUAACAAUUUUGUAAAACUGUUAUAUUUUUGGGCCAAAAAGGGGCCUUACCGGACCUACUCCUUU